AGUGAACGCUGGCGGUAGGCCUAACACAUGCAAGUCGAACGGCAGCACAGUAAGAGCUUGCUCUUACGGGUUGCGAGUGGCGGACGGGUGAGGAAUACAUCGUAAUCUACUUUUUCGUGGGAGAUAACGUAGGGAAACUUACGAUAAUACCGCAUACGCCCUACGGGUGAAAGCAGGGGAUCUUCGGACCUUGCGCGAUUGAAUGAGCCGAUGUGGGAUUGGCUAGUUGGCGGGGUAAAGGCCCACCCAGGCGACGAUCCGUAGCUGGUCGGAGAGGCUGGUCAGCGACACUGGAACGUAGACACGGUCCAGGCUCCUACGGGACGCAGCAGUGGGGAAUAUGGGACAAUGGGGGCAAGCAUGAUCCAGCCAUACCGCGUGGGUGAAGAAGGCCUUCGGGGUAUAAAGCCCUUUUGUGGGGAGAGAAAAGCAGCAGGUUAAUACCCAGCUGUUCUGACGGUACCCAAAGAAUAAGCACCGGCUAACUUCGUG
rnacentral:rRNA from 1 species